GUGCUUGCUUCAGCAGCACAGACAGUAAAACCAGAAUGAUGCAGAGAGGAUGAGCCUCUGCCUUGGGAGAGGAUGUCAUGCAAAUUCAUGGAGCAUUUUGUAUUUUU
ensembl:snRNA U6 U6 spliceosomal RNA